rnacentral:rRNA from 1 species
CGGACGGGUGAGUAACGCGUGAGAAUCUGCCUUCAGGACGGGGACAACAACUGGAAACGGUUGCUAAUACCCGAUAUGCCGCGAGGUGAAAAGUAUUUCGCCUGAAGAUGAGCUCGCGUCCGAUUAGCUAGUAGGUGUGGUAAUGGCGCACCUAGGCAACGAUCGGUAGCUGGUCUGAGAGGAUGAGCAGCCACACUGGGACUGAGACACGGCCCAGACUCCUACGGGAGGCAGCAGUGGGGAAUUUUCCGCAAUGGGCGAAAGCCUGACGGAGCAACGCCGCGUGAGGGAAGAAGGUCUUUGGAUUGUAAACCUCUUUCCUCAAGGAAGAAGUCAGUGACGGUACUUGAGGAAUCAGCAUCGGCUAACUCCGUGCCAGCAGCCGCGGUAAUACGGGGGAUGCAAGCGUUAUCCGGAAUUAUUGGGCGUAAAGCGUUCGUAGGCGGCCAAAUAAGUCUGCUGUCAAAGUGCGGAGCUUAACUCCGUAAGAGCAGUGGAAACUGUGUGGCUUGAGUAUGGUAGGGGUAGAGGGAAUUCCCAGUGUAGCGGUGAAAUGCGUAGAUAUUGGGAAGAACACCGGUGGCGAAAGCGCUCUACUGGGCCAUAACUGACGCUGAGGGACGAAAGCUAGGGGAGCGAAAGGGAUUAGAUACCCCUGUAGUC